AUUAGCAAUACUUUUAAUGUGUACGCAUAAAUGUAUGUAUAUAUAUCUUUGGAAUGGAACGAAAUCUAUUAGUUGUUUAUUUUUAAUUAGAUAUAUGAUUCUACUUCUCGUUAAUAAACUUUACAUUAUUAUAUUGGAAGAUACAAUGGAAGAUAUCGAAUUAAACUCUAAUACAAUCUUUUAUUCGUUUGUCGGCAACGUUAAGACUUUUGAUAAAAGAUUUCAAUACCUCGGUUAAUAGUUAAAGUGCCUUUCAACUGGCCGUAGAUAACAAAGCUCUUCACAAAUGUAUCAACGUAAGAUGUAAUACCACUGAUUAAGAAAUUCACUAAUUAUAGUCGACUAUUGUCAUUUUUCGAUGCAAGAUGUAAGUCGUAUUUGCAUUGAUACGCAGAUGAAUACGUAUAUGAUAAUGUUUUUUUAUAAACCCUGAGUUUAUUUCUGAUACAGAUUGAGAUAUAUACAGAUAUAUAUAUAUAUAUAUAUUAUAUAUAAUAUGUAUAUAUAUAUACAGAGAGAGAGAGAGAGAGAGAGAAAGAAAGGGUAAACGAAUCGAGAAUUUGAAUAAAACAAAGAACGAUAUCGAGAUUAAAUUGAAAAGAAACUUUGUUAGCUCUUGACAAAAAGGCAUUCGAUAAGGAAGCAUUAGGCGUCCAAAGUACAAUUAUAUCAAAAACCCAUUCAAAUUAAAGAAGAUUACAUAUGUAUCUGAUUAUGAUACCUUAUAUUUCUUAUUAUUCAUAUAAAAGAAAAGAAAAAGAAAAAAAAAACAGAUAAGAAGAAUAAGAAAGAAAUCUCAUCUUUAUUUCCCAAUAUCUUCAAUUAUGAUAGAUUUCUAAAUACAAUAAGGAUAAUAAUAACAAUAAUAACAACAACAAUAAUAUGCAGAAGAAGAAGAAGAAGAAGAAUAAAGUAUCUUGGUAUAUUCAAUUUUGCUUUCUUGUUCUUAUGUAGUAUAUGUAUCUAGUACAAUGUAAAUUUUAAUGUGGGAUUUCAUUUAAACGUGUCAUUUAAUGCGUAUUAUGAUUAAUAUGCAUUAUUCAUACACAUAUCAAGGUAUGUGUAUUUAAAUGAAUAUAGAAUUUAUACCUCGUUGACAAAUUAAAUUUACAAUAUUGAAAUAAGGGUGUCACGAUCAGGUACACGCAUCACGUUCGAUCGUCGACGAUCUUUCUAUAUAUAAAAUAUAUCGAUACCAAACGAUAUUACAUUUGUUAAAAGGCAUAUACGUAUUACGUACAUACGCGUACACGUGCAUACAGAAAAAUUAAGAAAAAAAUAGCAAAACAGAGCGAGGAAGAGAGAGAGAGAGAGAGAGAGAGAGAUGAAAGUACAUUGUUUUCUAACAAACGGAGUUUUCGAUGAGGUCUCGUAUUUUUGUAUUCCUGUUGCUUUCUUUUAUUUUUUGAUUUUGAUUAAUUAACUAAUUAAAUUAUAAAAAUUUUAAUAUAUAUAUAUAUAUAUAUAUAUAUAUAUAUAUAAUAUUAUUACACUGAAAGAAAAAGAGAAUGUUUAUACCAUUUACUAGCUGACGUAUACAAAGCAAAUCUUAUUACAAUGUUUAUAUGUUUCUAUAUAAGCUGAAAUAUCUAAAUACAACUUAUGUUAUUUACUUUCUGUCGAAUAUCGUAUGAGAUCAGUCUUUCGGCAACCACCGAGGUGGAAUGUUGGAAGAUCCCAUACAAACAUACAUUUGUAAAUAGAUACAUAUGUGUAUAUGUACAUAUGUACGUAACUAGAUACAUAAUAUACACACCCACACACACAUAUGCAAAGUAUACAGUAGUCUUUCUCUUGGGUAUUGCUUGAGAUUUUCUUAUAUUGUAUGGACAGUAACGAGCAACCUUUGUUCUGCAAUGAGCCAAAAUUAAAUAUCUGAUAUUGUUAUUGAUACAUUAUGAACUAAAAAUGUUUAAAUUGAUUAAAAAGAAAUUAAUACUUGAUAGAAAAAGAAAAAAUUACACAUUAUUGAAGGGUAUUUGUUAUUUUCGGCAUCAAUUUACAAUGAAAUGUUUUCUAUAAUUCCAUUGAUUUUUUAUUAGCAAUACUUUUAAUGUGUACGCAUAAAUGUAUGUAUAUACAUUUGUGUAAUGGAACGAAAUCUAUUAGUUGUUUAUUUUUAAUUAGAUAUAUGAUUCUACUUCUCGUUAAUAAACUUUACAUUAUUAUAUUGGAAGAUACAAUGGAAGAUAUCGAAUUAAACUCUAAUACAAUCUUUUAUUCGUUUGUCGUUAACGUUAAGACUUUUGAUAAAAGAUUUCAAUACUUCGGUUAAUAGUUAAAAUGCCUUUCAACUGGCCGUAGAUAACAAAACUCUUCAUAAAUGUAUCAACGUAAGAUGUAAUACCACUGAUUAAGAAAUUCACUAAUUAUAGUCGACUAUUGUCAUUUUUCGAUGCAAGAUGUAAGUCGUAAUUGCAUUGAGGCGUAUAUGAAUAUGUAUAUGAUAAUGUUUUUUUGUAAACCCUUAGUUACUCAUUUCUGUUAUGUAUUAUAUACUAUAUAUAUAUAUAUAGAGAGAGAGAGAGAGAGAGAAAGGGUAAACGAAUCGAUUAUUGAAAUAAAACAAAGAACGAUAUCGAGAUUAAAUUGAAAUGAAACUUUGUUAACUCUUGACAAAGAGGCACUCGAUAAGGAAGCAUGAGCCGUCCAAAGUACAAUUAUAUCAAAAACCCAUUCAUAUUAAAGACGAUUACACAUAUAUCCGAUUAUGAUACCUUUCUAAGUCCUGAAAUAAUUCCAUUCAAAUUUAUAUUACACUACUGCCAUGUAUGGUAAGUAAUUGAUUGUAAAGACUUUUAAUAGACUCAGAAGUGGCGCAUUCCAAGGAUUUCUAUAUAAUAUAAUAUAUAAGUUCUGUGUACCGUAGACUCUUCAUUUUUGAGGAAACAAGUUUUUUCAAACCUCUGGGAAUACCUAAUAAGUAACGUAGCUAUUUCUGGUUUUUGAAAGUUAAUGCAUAGUUUAAAAUGGAAAUAUAUACGAUGGAAACAUACCGACAAUUUUUGCGGGUUUAAAUGCUCCAAUUAUUACAGAAAGAUUUGGUCCUAUAAAAGAUUAUUUUUUGGACAUUCAUCUGUCACAGCUUCACAAUUCUUUUCUUCAUACUGUACGUCACACGCUUCGCGUAUAGCCUCUUUUUUUAUCGAUCAAGAACUAUCUCCAACAAAAUACGAUAACAGAAAUUAAGAAGUUUCGUAAUUCUUUCAUAGAAGUAACUUUGACUUCUACAAUAAAAAGAAAUUAAUAAAAGUUAUAGCUAUGUGUGUCAUGCAACGUGAAAUAAAAACUGACCUUUUUCAAUGCAUACAAAAAUGUUUUGGUGAAAAAAAUCUGAUCCAUUGGUUCUUGAUUGUCCAGGAUGAUGAUUCUUUCUUUUGCGAAGCUAUAAAAGCGGUUGAUAUACUUUUGGCUGCGGCAAGUCUUGCUGUUUUUCUUUGUAAAUCCAGAAAUAAUUCAAUUCCAAUUAUACAUUACGCCAUUAGCGUACAAGUAGUUGAUUGGAAAGAUUUUCCAUUGACUCAUAGAUGGCGUUGACUGAAGAAUUUCCAAACUAUAUAUAGAUCGUUUGUAGACUUCACUCGUACAUGAUUGGUCCGAUCUGGACAAAAAAAAAUCCGCCUAGAGGGCGCAACGAGAGCUCACCCAUGAGUCCGGUCCCGUUCUUCUAGGUGCUAUAGUUUCAGUAAACCGCUGUAACGUCCGUAAGAGUGCUCUAACCUCACUCGAACUUCCAUAACGUCCGUAAUAUCGCCGCAACUACCUAACGUCCGUAAAAGUGCCGUAACAUCACUCGAACAUGCAUAACGUCUGUCUUACGUCCGUAAGAGUGCCGUAACCUCACUCGAACAUCCGAAACGUCUGUCGAACAUCCGUAACGUCCGUAACAUCGCCGUAACGUCUGUCACAGCUCCGAGACAUCACAGAUGAUCGAAAUAACGCCGUAACGUCUGUCACACGUCCGUGACGUCACAGAUGCUGGAAACAACGCCGUAACGUCCGUAACAACGCCGUAACGUCUGUCACAGGUCCGUGACGUCACAGAUGAUCGAAACAACGCCGUAACGUCUGUCACAGGUCCGCGACGUCACAUAUGAUGGAAACAACGCCGUAAAGUCUGUCACAGGUCCGUGACGUCACAGAUGAUCGAAACAAGGCCGUAACUUCUGUCACAGGACCGUGACGUCAUAGAUGAUCGAAACAACGCUGUAACGUCUCUCAGAGAUCUGUGACGUCACAGAUGAUAGAAAAACAACGCCGUAACUCCUGUCACAGGUCCGUGACGUCACAGAUGAUCGAAACAAGGCCGUAACUUCUGUAACAGGUCCGUGACGUCACAGAUGAUAGAAACAUCGCCGUAAUUUCUGUCACAGGUCCGUGACGUCACAGAUGAUAGAAAAACAACGCCGUAACGUCUCUAAUAGAUCUGUGACGUCACAGAUGAUAGAAACAACGCCGUAAUUUCUGUCACAGGUCCGUGACGUCACAGAUGAUAGAAACAACGCCGUAAUUUCUGUCACAGGUCCGUGACGUCACAGAUGAUAGAAACAACGCCGUAACUUCUGUCACAGGUCCGUGACGUCACAGAUGAUAGAAAAACAACGCCGUAACGUCUCUAAUAGAUCGGUGACGUCACAGAUGAUAGAAACAACGCCGUAAUUUCUGUCACAGGUCCGUGACGUCAUAGAUGAUCGAAACAACGCUGUAACUUAUCUCAGAGAUCUGUGACGUCACAGAUGAUAGAAAAACAACGCCGUAACUCCUGUCACAGGUCCGUGACGUCACAGAUGAUAGAAACAACGCCGUAAUUUCUGUCACAGGUCCGUGACGUCACAGAUGAUAGAAACAACGCCGUAAUUUCUGUUACAGGUCCGUGACGUCACAGAUGAUAGAAAAACAACGCCGUAACGUCUCUAAUAGAUCUGUGACGUCACAGAUGAUAGAAACAACGCCGUAAUUUCUGUCACAGGUCCGUGACGUCACAGAUGAUAGAAACAACGCCGUAAUUUCUGUCACAGGUCCGUGACGUCACAGAUGAUAGAAACAACGCCGUAACUUCUGUCACAGGUCCGUGACGUCACAGAUGAUAGAAAAACAACGCCGUAACGUCUCAAAUAGAUCGGUGACGUCACAGAUGAUAGAAACAACGCUGUAACUUAUCUCAGAGAUCUGUGACGUCACAGAUGAUAGAAAAACAACGCCGUAACUCCUGUCACAGGUCCGUGACGUCACAGAUGAUAGAAACAACGCCGUAAUUUCUGUCACAGGUCCGUGACGUCACAGAUGAUAGAAACAACGCCGUAAUUUCUGUCACAAGUCCGUGACGUCACAGAUGAUAGAAAAACAACGCCGUAACGUAUCUAAUAGAUCUGUGACGUCACAGAUGAUAGAAACAACACCGUAAUUUCUGUCACAGGUCCGUGACGUCACAGAUGAUAGAAAAACAACGCCGUAACGGCUCUAAUAGAUCUGUGACGUCACGGAUGGUCGAAACAACGCCGUAAUUUCUGUCACAGGUCCGUGACGUCACAGAUGAUAGAAACAACGCCGUAAU